rnacentral:rRNA from 1 species
AACGAACGCUGGCGGCAGGCUUAACACAUGCAAGUCGAACGCAUGCCUUCGGGCAUGAGUGGCAGACGGGUGAGUAACGCGUGGGAACCUACCCCUUGGUACGGGAUAGCUCCGGGAAACUGGAGAUAAUACCGUAUAUGUCCUGAGGGCCAAAGAUUCCUCGCCAAGGGAUGGGCCCGCGUCGGAUUAGCUAGUGGGGGGGGUAACGGCCUACCAAGGCGACGAUCCGUAGCUGGUCUAAGAGGAUGAUCAGCCACAUUGGGAUUGAGACACGGCCCAAACUCCUACGGGAGGAGGCAGUGGGGAAAAUUGGACAUUGGGCGCAAGCCUGAGCCAGCCAGGCCGCGUGAGUGAUGAAGGCCCUAGGAUGGUAAAGCUCUUUCACCGGUGACGAUAAGGACGGUAACCGGAGAAGAAGCCCCGCCUAACUUCUU